GGAGGGUUACCCAAGCGGCUGAAGGGGCGGGUUUGCUAAACCUGUAGGUCGGAUGAACUUCCGGCGCGGGGGUUCGAAUCCCCCACCCUCCGCCA
rnacentral:tRNA from 1 species